UUAAUCCUGCCUCAUUUGGGGCACUUCUUUGUGAGAAUCCCGAAGUAGCUGAAGAUCCCUUCAAAGAAAAGCUAGUUAUAGAAAACUUAUCCCUGGCGCUCAUGUGAUCAGGUAGGUUGCAAUGAAGUUGGCAUGAAGUACCUGUCCAUCGUUCCCAAGACAUGAGCUUCUGAAAGGGAUGCGGGUACCCAAAACCACUUCCCUGGGAGCAGGGACAGCCAUCGUUCCUCCCAGGAGGCUGCAGUGUGAAGUGGUGGGAUACUGUCAGCCUUUGCAUCUCCACUGCCUCCUGCAGCUUCUCAUGCUCUUAUGGUUCAGAAGAACUUUUACAUCAAAGCUUGAAUUUUUGCUAGCUUUGUUGAUACUUCCUGUGUUCUUUGAAUAGCAGCUGUUCUGAGAUUAAGUAAACCAAUGAUUGACAGAAAACACCAGCCUCGAACCCAGAGUUUUGAGUUUAUCUUUUAAGUGGUGUGCCACAAACCAAUUUGCAAUUAACAAAUGCCCAUGUCAUCUAACAAAGCUGAAUCUGGCAGUGCGAUGUUAGUAUCUAAAAGCAGAUGCUGGUAGCUCAUGGAAACCGGUAAAUGCAUGUUAAAAAUCCCUGUUCUGGAAACCUCCUUAUUUCAAAAAAUGUUUCCACUAGGUCUAUUUGUAAGUUUGGGGCAAUUUGUGCUGCUGAUGAUGCCAUUAAAGUAUUGAAAAUGCAUUUCUGAAUGAAGUUAAUUCAUUACUUUGCAAUUCUGAGCUUCUGGAAGCAAAAGCCCACGUGGGCUGCAUGCCACUGAGAUAUGCUACACCAGUUCUCCAGUCUUCAAACCCUUCGUAAUCUUUUGUGUUUGCUGGUAGGGGCAGCCCACCCGGCAUAAAAAGGCAUGCAAACAAUUUUAACAGACAAGCAUUGUGUCGACCAAGGUUUCCAGUGUUAAACUAUCCAGAAAGAUUUAGACAAAUUUUUCCCUAUGGUAAAAUGCAUAUGUUAGUUUAAAGAUGAAGAGAAAAUGAAAUGUAUUAUUUAUAGCCUAAAAUAUCCUUAAUAUUACACAUGUGUAUUUCACUUAAUCAUCGUUUUGACAAAUGCCCACACUGCUAAACACCUAAUGUACAAUAGGAUGUGGUUCCCUAUUAAACUAGCAGAUGCUAUAGUUUCUGAUUGUUAAUGUUGGACCUGUUUGCCAAUAAAAACAACUGAUGGAUCAGCA